rnacentral:rRNA from 1 species
CUACGGGUCGCUCCAGUGGGGAAUAUUGGGCAAUGGGCGCAAGCCUGACCCAGCAACGCCGCGUGAGGGAAGAAGGUUUUCGGAUUGUAAACCUCUGUCCUUGGGGACGAAGAAGUGACGGUACCCAAGGAGGAAGCUCCGGCUAACUACGUGCCAGCAGCCGCGGUAAUACGUAGGGAGCAAGCGUUGUCCGGAAUUACUAGGCGUAAAGGGUGCGUAGGCGGCAUAUUAAGUCAGGUGUGAAAUACUCGGGCUCAACCCGGGGGCUGCAUUUGAAACUGAUAUGCUUGAGUGUGAGAGAGGAAAGUGGAAUUCCUAGUGUAGCGGUGGAAUGCGUAGAUAUUAGGAGGAACACCAGUGGCGAAGGCGACUUUCUGGCUCAUAACUGACGCUGAGGCACGAAAGCGUGGGGAGCAAACAGGAUUAGAUACCCGGGUAGUC